rnacentral:tRNA from 1 species
GGCCCGCUAGCUCAACUGGCAGAGCAACUGACUCUUAAUCAGUAGGUCCUCGGUUCGAUCCCGAGACGGCCCACCA